rnacentral:rRNA from 1 species
CCCUUCACGGGUGCGUAACGGGUGGGAAUCUGCCCUUGGGUUCGGAAUAACAGUGAGAAAUUGCUGCUAAUACCGGAUGAUGUCUUCGGACCAAAGAUUUAUCGCCCAGGGAUGAGCCCCCGUAGGAUUAGCUAUUUGGUGGGGUAAUGGCCUACCAAGGCGACGAUCCUUAGCUGGUCUGAGAGGAUGAUCAGCCACACUGGGACUGAGACACGGCCCAGACUCCUACGGGAGGCAGCAGUGGGGAAUAUUGGACAAUGGGCGCAAGCCUGAUCCAGCAAUGCCGCGUGAGUGAUGAAGGCCUUAGGGUUGUAAAGCUCUUUUACCACGGAUGAUAGUGACAGUACCUGGAGAAUAAGCUCCGGCUAACUCCGUGCCAGCAGCCGCGGUAAUACGGAGGGAGCUAGCGUUGUUCGGAAUUACUGGGCGUAAAGCGCGCGUAGGCGGUUACUCAAGUCAGAGGUGAAAGCCCGGGGCUCAACCCCGGAACUGCCUUUGAAACUAGGUGACUAGAAUCUUGGAGAGGUCAGUGGAAUUCCGAGUGUAGAGGUGAAAUUCAUAUAUAUUCUGAAGAACACCAGUGGCGAAGGCUACUGACUGGACAAGUAUUGACACUGAGGUGCGAAAGCGUGGGGAGCAAACAAGAUUAGAUACCCUGGUAGUCCACGCCGUACACGAUGAUAACUAGCUGUCCGGGGACUUGGUCUUUGGGUGGCGCAACUAACGCAUUAAGUUAUCCGCCUGGGGAGUACGGACGCAUGAUUAAAACUCAUAGGAAUUGACGGCGGGCCUGCACAAGCGGACGGAGCAUGUGGUUUAAUUCGAAUCAACUCGCAGAACCUUACCAGCGUUGGACAUCCUCAUCGCGGAUUAGAGAGAUCUUUUUCCUUCCUUUCGGCUGGAUGACUGACAGGUGCUGCAUGGCCUGUUCGUCAUCCUCGUGUUCCUGAGAAUGUUUGAGCUUAAGUCCCGCAACGAGCGCCAACCCUUCCUCCUUAGGUUGCC